rnacentral:snRNA from 1 species
GUGUUGUGAGGACAUUCUGGCUACAAUAUUUGUCACCUCAUUGAUUGCCAAGUUGAUUUGGCAGGCUAGGCAAUUGUUGCCUUCAUCCCUCACUGCUGCAUGUGUGUCCUUUUAAAGCUGUGCACAUGAAGAAAUAAGUGAAAAGGAGUGUAAAACUCUCUGGUAUUUGGAAUACAAGAAUUGCUCUUCCUUACUUGAACCUCCCAAAAAUUCAAGGAAGGCUUAAAUAUUUUUAAAUAAAGUGGAUUACCUGAAAAAUAACUAAACUGGAAGAAAAAUCAUCUCAACACUACUCAUUUUU